UACGGCCACAUAAUAUAGAAACACCGCUUCCCGUACGAUCACCGAUGUUAAGCAACGUCGAGCCUGGUCGGUACCUAGAUGAGUGACGUCUUGGGAAUAUCAAGUGCUGUAA